CAAUUUUUUUCCACUUCUAAUCUUCGCAAACCAUAAAGAAAGAAAUUAAUUCGCAGUUGGAUCGGGAAGAAGGAAGCGACGGAACUCUUGAGAGAGAGAGAGAGAGAGAGAGAGAGAGAGAGAGAGAGAGAAGGAAGAGGAGACGAGUAGUAUAUCGCGCUGUGCUGUGCUGUGGAUCUACUGAUCUAGAGAAAGAUUAAUUUGGAUUCGGGGAGGCUUAUAGUUUCCAUUCCAUGCAGAAGAUGGAAGAUUGGAACCAAGCGGAGAUUGAAGACAUUGUUUUUGGUAAUAUUGGUGAAAACAAUGAUCAGAUAUUCUCUGACAGAGGCGGUAAACAAGUGGAAGAGUCUCUAGCACCAGGCAAUUUCAUUGUUGCUCAACAAAGUAAUAAGACUAAUAUUGGAAACAGUGCAGGGAGCAAAGUGUCAAAGAACAAAGAUGCCAUUUGGAGAAAACAAGGAACAAACAUCUGCUCUUCUCUUGAAAAUGAAAGCUCCAAUGUAGCAAAAGGGGAUUGUCAAGGCAAUACAGUUUCACAAAGCAAGAUGUGCAGCUCAAGCAAUCCUGCUACAAGGAAUGCUGAGGAAGAAAUGGGCAUCUGCCAAUUGCCAUUUGAGAAUAAUAGCUCAGUUGAUUCAAAAGUUACUUUUUUGGCAAAUGAAAAUGAUCUGUAUUAUGGCUGGUCGGAUAUCAGCAGUUUUGACGACGUUGAUAAAAUGUUCAGAAAUUGUGACCCCACCUUUGGGCAAUGGAGCAAUACAGAUGGGCCUUCAUGGAUAUCUUCCUCAGAAGACAUGUAUGGUCCAGAAGAUAAGUUUACCUCAACCUUCAAAUCUUCAACUCUAGAAUUCAAAGAAUUGGAGAAUGCAUCAGUGUAUUGUGAAAACAGUCGGUGCUUGGAUGAAUGUAGUAAACCACAGGUUGAUACUCAUAGGCAAUCUUGUUUGACCUGCCCGUCCUUCAAGUCAAGUGCAGUACAGGCAUAUGAUGGUGGUGGAGGGGAAGAUAAUAAAUCAUCUCUGACACCAUGUAGCACUAAUAACUUGGUCGAACAUGAGCCACAGAUAGACAUUCAAACCCAGCAGCAGCUCAAUAGACAAUUCUUAUCUGAUGCGAAAGGAAAAGGUCUUGCAACUUAUCCUGCUCAGCUUCAUUCAAAACGAGAUUGUAUUGCGAAAUCAGACUGUUCAAGUUUAACGCUAUCCUUAAAUCCCGAUUUUCAUGUGGACAACAAACUUCUAUACCAGGAUCUUCUUUUGCAGUCAGCAUCCGGCACUGUUACUGAUUGUAAACAAGAUCCUUCCUCAUCAUUUGAAGUCUCAGCUCAUGUUAUCAAUAACUCUUCCCAUGGAAUGGGGAAAGUACCUGAUGCUUUGUUAAACAAUCCUGUCAUGAAGCUGGAAGAAAUGGUAGAUAGCCCAAACAUAAGAUCACUAGAGCUGGGUAAUUCUGUUAGGAAACAGCAUGCUAAUUUUGGCCAAAACAUUCAUAAUGACCGAGGGAAUACAAGCAUAGAGAUUCAUGAAAAAGAUAUGGAUCCUGCAGUAGGAAAAAACUCAUUAAUGCCUUCGAUCUUCCUUGAUAAUCUUUCUGUCAAAGUUAUCAGUUUCCAGCAGCUCCAGGGUGUCAUUGGCCAGGUUUGUUUACUGCAGUUGGAAUAUAGAACAAAGCUUUGUAUAAGGGACAGCCUAUAUCGAUUGGCCAGGAGUGCAGAACAGAGACAUAAUUGUGCUGCUGCAAAUGCUGAAGGUGUUGAUCAUGGAAGAGAAAUACAUGGUACAGGAACAUCAAACAGAUCUGUCGAAUAUAUGGGCAUAGAGACUGAGAGUAAUCCCAUUGAUCGGUCUGUAGCGCGCCUACUUUUCUACAGAGCACCAGAGACUGCAACCCGUUGAUGAUGCUACAUCAUUCGUCUCACAUGAAUGUACGACCUACAUAUGUUGAUCUUGCUUACCGUCAUUUCAUGCUGGGAACUUCUUACACCCGGCUCAAAUAUUGUAUAUAUUGAGUGAUGUCAAUGCCAUUUAUUUAUUGUUGAAUCGUCUCCGUAGGCGGUCAUAUUCCAAGUAUCCUUCAUGUUUGCGUGCCCUGUGUGGGAGUAAGUAAUCACGAUGCGGUUUGAGCUUUUGUAUUUGAAGUAAUAGAAGCACAGAAU